GCCUUCGUGGUGUAAUUGGAAACGUACUCGAAGCGUAUUCGAGAAGUCCAAGGUUCGAGUCCCGGUGAGGGCA
rnacentral:tRNA from 1 species